rnacentral:rRNA from 1 species
GACGUAGGGCGCGAGCGUUGUCCGGAUUUAUUGGGCGUAAAAGAGCUCGUAGGCGGCUUGUUGCGUCGACUGUGAAAAACCCGCGGCUUAACUGCGGGCUUGCAGUUUGAUACGGGCAGGCUAGAGUUCGGUAGGGGGAGACUGGAAUUCCUGGUGUAGCGGUGAAAAUGCGUUGAUAUCAGGAGGAACACCCCAUGGCGAAGGCAGCAAAACUGGGUCAUCAAACUGACGCUGAGGGCGCGAAAAAGCGUGGGGGGGAGCAAAAACAGGG